rnacentral:lncRNA from 1 species
CAGACAUCCCGCAGCGGGCAGGGAAAUGGUGGCGUGGGGGAGCCCGUGAAGGGUUUCCAAACAGCCACGAGAGACUCGGCAGAAUCGAUGGCUGUCAGCAGCUGGCAAGAGUUGCCUCAUUUCUACCCCUGGUGCUGGAAAGGUAAAGGCAGCAGAGGCAGGAGCAGUUAUCUUUCACGGUGGUGUGCUCGUGCUUCCUCUGUGUAACUCCUCAGCCACAGACCUGCUAGUCCUGCCUUUCUGGGGAAAUGGGCAAUUUUCCUGCACAAUGGUGAUCACGUUUUCAGAUCCUCUGUAUCAGCAGGAGGAAGCGCAGACUGCCUGGUUUCUCUCACUGCAAUAACAGUCAAAUGCAGUCAGCUAAGUGUAGGAACCAAACCGGCUGAGGAUGCACAGGGACAGUGGAAAUGAGCAAUGAGCUUGUAUUUUGGCAGGAAGGUGACUGCAAGCCUGAAUCUACUUCAACAUAAACAGACAAGUGAAAGAAACCAGUAUUGGGUUCUACAAGCAGUUCAGAGACCCACUUAUCUUUGAUCUGUACGUUUUAAUUUCAAUCUGUAAAAGAAUGAAUGGAUGUUGUGCAACAUUUCUCUAAUACUCCAGCUGUGGAAAACAACCACAUCUGGCACGUAAAAUAACAAUGAAAUUAACUGAAGGCUGUACUGUUCUUAAAAGCAGCUACAAAUACACGUUCAAAUAACUUGCUGGAAAAGAAAUAUCCAAUUUGUCAGAUGACAAUACAUAAGCUUGGAAGGAGGAAAAAAAUUAAGCCAAAAGAAAUAUUGCACUUCAGAGAAUUCAAAUGAAGAAGAAGUUCCCUUCCACCAAACCUCUGUGAGCUUGCAAGGCAUAAAUUACACA